CGGACGGGUGAGUAACACGUGGAUAACCUACCUAUAAGACUGGGAUAACUUCGGGAAACCGGAGCUAAUACCGGAUAAUAUUUUGAACCGCAUGGUUCAAAAGUGAAAGACGGUCUUGCUGUCACUUAUAGAUGGAUCCGCGCUGCAUUAGCUAGUUGGUAAGGUAACGGCUUACCAAGGCAACGAUGCAUAGCCGACCUGAGGAGGGUGAUCGGCCACACUGGAACUGAGACACGGUCCAG
rnacentral:rRNA from 1 species